AACGAACGCUGGCGGCAGGCUUAACACAUGCAAGUCGAACGCCCCGCAAGGGGAGUGGCAGACGGGUGAGUAACGCGUGGGAAUCUACCGUGCCCUGCGGAAUAGCUCCGGGAAACUGGAAUUAAUACCGCAUACGCCAUACGGGGGAAAGAUUUAUCGGGGUAUGAUGAGCCCGCGUUGGAUUAGCUAGUUGGUGGGGUAAAGGCCUACCAAGGCGACGAUCCAUAGCUGGUCUGAGAGGAUGAUCAGCCACAUUGGGACUGAGACACGGCCCAAACUCCUACGGGAGGCAGCAGUGGGGAAUAUUGGACAAUGGGCGCAAGCCCGAUCCAGCCAUGCCGCGUGAGUGAUGAAGGCCUUAGGGUUGUAAAGCUCUUUCACCGAUGAAGAUAAUGACGGUAGUCGGAGAAGAAGCCCCGGCUAACUUCGUGCCAGCAGCCGCCGUAA
rnacentral:rRNA from 1 species